AUCUUCUAAUAGCUUAGAAAGGGAAGAUAAAGCUCUGAUGCAUUAGGUAACCAUUAAACUUGAAAACAAUCAGAAGUCUUCAAUCCUGGUAAAAAAAGCCACCAGUUGUGCUUUGAUUAAAUAUUGGAAUGACAUCCAGGAGUGUCCUUGGAGAUUUGCCAACCCUUCUCUGGUUUCUUUUGGUAAACAAUCCAGUUGUAUCGCAGCAAGUGAUUUUGACCUGUACCUGUCAAGGACAAAGGUGCAGCACCAGGAAACUCCAUAAAAUACCUUCCUGAGCAACACUUUGCAUAUAGUACUCUUGUCAGCAAUCAGUAUAGAAACCAGGAUCAGAGAAAAGAAACUCUUCUAAAACACAGCUAUACUUCUGGACUUCUGCAUGUGCUGUUGAUGAAGAAUUACAUUUUACAGCCUGGACAGUAUAAUAGCUUUUUACUGAUAGAAGUGUUCACCACCAUUCAUUGCUGUGUAAACAAAGGUGACACAAAGGUGAGACGCAGGCAUUCCUGUUGCAACUUGGUAAAGAUGACCUCCAAAGGGACAGUAUUCCUGAGCCUGCAGGACAUCUCAGCUUCUGUGAUCUCAAGUAGUGAGACUGACAUUCUGCCAGUCCUGUUAUGGUAGAGGCUGUUCUACAGUGUACCCCGUCGUGAGAAAAAUAAUGUUUAUCUUGCAUCCAACACUGCUACCUCAGCUAAGGAAGUAAAGUGAGAUUACAGGAUCUGCUUUAUGGGUAUAACUGAAAAUAAAUUCCCUUGAAGCUGAAGAUGGCAAAGAUUUAAGGAGACGGAUUGCCUGACAGCUGAGAAAAGCAACAACUUUUUGAGAUUAUGAGCCUUUUCUCUUCCUGUUAUGAGUUGAUCUAAUAAAGGUAUUGUUUCUCUCUAGUAAUUUGUCCUGUCAUCGUGACUAUAAGCACUUUUGUAGCUCUUCUUUCAAGAAAAAGCCAAUGUGACUCUGAACAUAGUAACUGGGAGCUGAAUCUUCUCUCUUGGCAUAAAAAGAAAC
ensembl:lncRNA